rnacentral:lncRNA from 1 species
AUUUUCACCUAGCAAGUGCAAGGUGUACAGGCAGAGAUGAGAUCGGUGUGUGCUCGGUUUUUUUAUUUCAGACUUUUUUAGCAUAAGUCAAGCAGCUUUGAACAAUUCUCCUUUGACUCAUUAACUGUCAAAAGCAAAUGUAGAUGGGAGGCGUAAAACUGUUUCUUUCAGAAAAGAAGAGUAUAGCUGCAAUAUAGUCUUUCUCCAUAUGGAAGCAUCCUUCAGAAGAAUCCAGGCUUAUACAUAAGCAGGCGCUGACACAUUACAUGAUGUACUUAUAAUAAGACAGGGAAAUAUAUAGAGAACAUUUCAGUUGCCUAAACAUGAAGUGCCAUUUGAGAUAUGGUUGACUCAUCUCAUCUCCUGGUACCUCACCAGGUCUCCAGCUUGUGACCCAGGGAAGUUUUGUCAUAUCUUGUGUAAACGUGCCACCUGUCCUAGGAUAUCUCAAAUGGCACAAGGUACUUAUGCUUAGACUCAUCUACAUGAGGUAAGCCCAUGUAGAUGAAAAUAGCAUAAAGUUUGUUCCUAGCUGGUUGAAAUACAACCUCUAGAGACACGUUAGGCCUGAAGGUUGCAUUAAGAGUCCUUGUGCACAAAGUGCUAGUUUUAGAAUCCUAAUCUGUAAUUUUUUAUAAAAUGUGAACGAUGGAAUAAAAGUUAUGCUUAUUACAUUUUCAGACUAUGCCUCAUGGAAGAUACUGUGAGCAUUUUGGAGUGGAUGGUGGUAAACGAGUGCUUAAAAUGGAGAAGACAAGCUUUCUCCCUGACUUUUGCAUGUGCUGCUGCAGUUUGGGAAGGAGAUGGCAACUAACAGAGGUGAGCAAUAGAAAGGCUGAUUUUCUUAAAAUCUUGGUGGGGGGGUGGUGUGGAGGGGGUGGUUGGAAUUCACCUGAGGGUGCUGGUGCAGUGACUAUGAGGCUGCUGUCUGUCAUUUAUCAAAACUCAUGACGGUGAGGGAGUCAGGGAAGCAAGACUGGGUACCCCCACCCUGCAUUCGCAGUGGAUGGCUUUCGUGGGCAAGGGUUUGCUCUAGUCUCCUUGCAUGGAUCCUCAACUGAGCUGAUUUAGUACCAUGAAUAAUAAUUUCUUGUGGUUCUUUUCUUCCCCCUAGCCCACGUAUUGCUCUUUGGAUUUUUCAGUGACUCAUUUCUAAUAGACUAAGAUUGUUAGAGUUACAUUCUAGUGACAAGAUAUGUGAGUUUUGGUUGAUUUCUCCUAACACAGGAAGGUCUAGGAAAUGUUAUCUUUUGAAGGGAGAGACUGGAUUUUCACCUUCACGGGCUCUUUACAGUGAUUCUCAUUAGAUUCUUCCUUAGAAUUAGCAGACUGCUACAACAAUUGAGUAGCCCAAAUUGGAAGAGAUUUUACUUUUUAACAUGCAAGUUGAACAUCAGAUGUGGGGUGUUUCUGAUGUAAUCUGGGCCCUAUGGAGGCAAGGGGCGAUUGUUAGCUGAGUUGGAUUAUUGGAAUUAAUAGAUCCUAUGCACACUUUAAAACUUCUUAUAGCUUCUUUCACACUUACCUGGAAAGCCGUAUCCAAGCCACUUGAACAGCAUCACAAAAUCUUUUUGCAGCAUCUUGCAGCUAUUUGAGGAAUAUGUUAAUGCUUCUUCUAGGUCAUGUGAAAGUCGUGUCUGACAAAACCCUGAUUUUGGGAAUUGCAUUUUUUCCUGUGCGACUGAGCCAAAACAAUGUGCCUACAAUGUUUUAUGUUAAUAGAGUAUCUGGCCUAAUAUGUCUAUUUCUGGCACACACAGAGUAGAGGCUGUGUGUCCUUUAUGCUGUGGCGUGACUGUCAUCUUUGCUUAACGCUCCUUGCAAAUAAAUGCCCCAAACCAGAGAAAAGAAUGGGCUGA